rnacentral:rRNA from 1 species
GACGAACGCUGGCGGCGUGCUUAACACAUGCAAGUCGAACGGAAAGGCCCUGCUUUUGUGGGGUGCUCGAGUGGCGAACGGGUGAGUAACACGUGAGUAACCUGCCCUGGACUUUGGGAUAACUGCAGGAAACUGGUGCUAAUACCGGAUAGGAGCGCCUGCUGCAUGGGGGGGGUUGGAAAGUUUCGGCGGCUGGGGAUGGACUCGCGGCUUAUCAGCUUGUUGGUGGGGUAGUGGCUUACCAAGGCUUUGACGGGUAGCCGGCCUGAGAGGGUGACCGGCCACAUUGGGACUGAGAUACGGCCCAGACUCCUACGGGAGGCAGCAGUGGGGAAUAUUGCACAAUGGGCGGAAGCCUGAUGCAGCAACGCCGCGUGCGGGAUGACGGCCUUCGGGUUGUAAACCGCUUUCGCCUGUGACGAAGCGUGAGUGACGGUAAUGGGUAAAGAAGCACCGGCUAACUACGUG